GAUGAACGCUGGCGGCGUGCCUAAUACAUGCAAGUCGAGCGAACGGACGAGAAGCUUGCUUCUCUGAUGUUAGCGGCGGACGGGUGAGUAACAAGUGGAUAACCUACCUAUAAGACUGGGAUAACUUCGGGAAACCGGAGCUAAUACCGGAUAAUAUUUUGAACCGCAUGGUUCAAAAGUGAAAGACGGUCUUGCUGUCACUUAUAGAUGGAUCCGCGCUGCAUUAGCUAGUUGGUAAGGUAACGGCGUACCAAGGCAACGAUGCAUAGCCGACCUGAGAGGAGGAUCGGCCACACUGGAACUGAGACACGGUCCAGACGCCUACGGGAGGCGGCAGUAGGGAAUCUUCCGCAAUGGGCGAAAGCCUGACGGAGCAACGCCGCGGGGGUGAUGAAGGUCUUCGGAUCGUAAAACUCUGUUAUUAGGAAAGAACAUAUGUGUAAGUAACUGUGCACAUCUUGACGGUACCUAAUCAGAAAGCCACGGCUAACUACGUG
rnacentral:rRNA from 1 species